AUUGAACGCUGGCGGCAGGCUUAACACAUGCAAGUCGAGCGGAGAUGAGGUGCUUGCACCUUAUCUUAGCGGCGGACGGGUGAGUAAUGCUUAGGAAUCUGCCUAUUAGAGGGGGACAACAUUCCGAAAGGAAUGCUAAUACCGCAUACGCCCUACGGGGGCAAGACGGGGAUCUGCGGACCUUGCGCUAAUAGAUGAGCCUAAGUCGGAUUAGCUAGUCGGUGGGGUAAAGGCCUACCAAGGCGACGAUCUGUAGCGGGUCUGAGAGGAUGAUCCGCCACACUGGGACUGAGACACGGCCCAGACUCCUACGGGAGGCAGCAGUGGGGAAUAUUGGACAAUGGGCGGAAGCCUGAUCCAGCCAUGCCGCGUGUGUGAAGAAGGCCUUUUGGUUGUAAAGCACUUUAAGCGAGGAGGAGGCUACCUGGAUUAAUACUCUAGGAUAGUGGACGUUACUCGCAGAAUAAGCACCGGCUAACUCUGUGCCAGCAGCCGCCGCGGUAA
rnacentral:rRNA from 1 species